GGUGCGGGACGUGUCCCGGCUGCCGGGGCCGAGCGGCCGGGGGCAGGGCGCAGCUCCGCGGGGCCGGCGGCGGAACACGCCGAUGCUCGCACCGAGCCGCCGCGGGCAACGCUUCCAAGUCUGAGCUGAUCCUGGAUCCUGCAGUGUUUCUGUACUGCAGAAAUGAGCUCUGUGGCGACAGACAAGGUUGCAGGAAAACUGAGCUCUACUCUCUCAUGGGUGAAGAACACUGUCUCGCACACCGUCAGUCAAAUGGCCAGUCAGGUGGCAAGUCCAUCUGCCUCAUUACACACUACAUCCUCCUCUACCACUCUGUCUACACCCGUGCUAUCACCAUCCUCACCAACACAGCUGAGUCCAGAUGACUUAGAAUUACUGGCUAAACUUGAGGAACAGAACAGACUCCUGGAAACAGAUAGCAAAUCUUUGCGAUCAGUAAAUGGGUCAAGAAGAAAUAGUGGAUCUUCUCUUGUAUCUAGUUCAUCAGCUUCUAGCAAUCUCAGCCAUCUUGAAGAAGACUCAUGGAUCCUCUGGGGGAGGAUUGUGAAUGAAUGGGAAGAUGUACGGAAAAAGAAAGAAAAGCAAGUUAAGGAGCUUGUUCGAAAAGGGAUACCUCAUCAUUUCAGAGCAAUCGUUUGGCAACUCUUAUGCAGUGCUCAAAGCAUGCCAAUUAAGGAUCAGUAUUCAGAGCUCUUGAAAAUGACAUCUCCUUGCGAGAAACUAAUAAGAAGGGACAUUGCUAGGACAUACCCUGAACAUGAUUUUUUUAAGGAAAAAGACAGCCUUGGGCAGGAGGUCUUGUUCAAUGUCAUGAAGGCUUAUUCUUUGGUGGAUCGCGAGGUUGGAUACUGUCAAGGAAGCGCCUUUAUAGUUGGAUUACUGCUUAUGCAGAUGCCAGAAGAAGAGGCAUUCUGUGUGUUUGUUAAAUUAAUGCAAGAUUACCGACUACGAGAACUCUUUAAACCAAGCAUGGCUGAACUGGGCCUUUGUAUGUACCAGUUUGAAUGCAUGAUACAGGAGCAUCUUCCAGAGCUUUAUGUGCAUUUUCAGUCUCAGAGUUUCCACACUUCUAUGUAUGCAUCGUCAUGGUUUUUAACUAUAUUCCUUACAACUUUUCCACUACCAAUUGCAACAAGAGUAUUUGAUAUCUUUAUGUCUGAGGGUUUAGAGAUAGUAUUUCGAGUAGGUUUAGCAGUACUUCAGAUGAAUCAAGCAGAGUUACUGCAACUUGACAUGGAAGGAAUGUUACAGCACUUUCAAAAGGUCAUUCCACAUCAGUUUGACAGCGGUCCAGACAAAUUAAUCCAAGCAUCUUACCAAGUCAAAUACAAUGCAAAAAAGAUGAAAAAGUUAGAAAAGGAAUACACUACAAUAAAGACAAAAGAAAUGGAAGAGCAAGUUGAAAUUAAAAGGCUACGAACUGAAAAUAGACUCUUGAAGCAGCGCAUUGAAACACUAGAAAAAGAAAGUGCUUCCUUGGCAGAUAGAUUGAUACAGGGACAAGUGACAAGGGCCCAGGAGGCUGAGGAAAACUACCUUGUAAAACGGGAGCUGGCCACCAUCAAACAGCAGAGUGAUGAGGCCAUUACUAAACUGGAGCAAGCUGAGAAUACCAUCAGGGAGCUCCAACAGCAGCAGCAAUGGCAUAAAUGCAGUUCACAAUACAGUGAAGACUUUGUGCUACAGCUGGAAAAAGAGUUGGUCCAAGCCAGGCUGAGUGAAGCAGAAUCCCAUUGUGCCUUGAAGGAGAUGCAAGAUAAAGUUCUAGAGAUGGAAAAGAGGAACAGCUCUCUCCCUGAUGAGGAAAACAUUGCUAGACUACAAGAAGAACUGAUUGCAGUAAAAUUAAGAGAAGCAGAAGCUCUGAUGGGUCUCAAAGAACUAAGGCAGCAAGUCAAAGAUUUGGAGGAACACUGGCAGAGUCAUCUGGCUCGUACCACUGGAAGAUGGAAAGAUCCUCCCAGAAAAAACACAGUGAAUGAGCUACAGGAUGAGCUGAUGACAGUCCGAUUGAGAGAAGCAGAAACUCAGGCUGAACUGAAAGAGACCAAACAAAGAAUGAUGGAGAUGGAAACACAGAAUCAGAUUAAUAGUAACCACUUAAGAAGGGCAGAGCAAGAGGUUACCAGCCUACAAGGGAAGGUACAGUAUCUUUCUGCACAGAACAAAGGACUUCUUGCUCAGUUGAAUGAAGCAAAACGUAGACAAGCAGAGAUUGAAUGCAAGAGUAAAGAAGAAGUGAUGGCAGUCCGGCUCCGUGAGGCAGACCGCAUUGCAGCUGUGGCUGAGCUCCAACAGCAUAUUGCUGAACUAGAAAUCCAGAAAGAAGAAGGAAAAAUUCAAGGGCAGCUUAAUAAAUCUGAUUCUAACCAGUACAUCAGAGAGCUGAAAGAUCAGAUAGCUGAGCUGCACCAUGAGUCAGCAUCAGGUAAGAAAGUUUAUUCUGGGGUUCAGGGAUCUGACUGUUAGCCAUUUUUCAGCUCUUCUGAAUUUGUGAAAGUACACUGUUAACCUUUUAAGAGUAUAUAAAAUUAAAAUCUUUUAAUAUGCUGACCAGUAGGACAGAUAGUUUGUCUUUAAAAUGCUGAAUUCUUUAGCUACAAGAAGGUAUAUAAAUUCAAACAUUAUUAUUGUUAAGAUUCUGUUCUUGACUCAGGUUGCUUUUGAAUUGGUAAUGAUAAACAUUUUGGUCAAAUAAUGUUAUCCUUUUAAAGACCACAUGCGCAUGCUGUAGUGAAAACUGGGUUGAAGCUGCAGUCAUUAUAGACAAUAUGACCUGAAUUUGAGAAUUAAAAGCAAACCACGUGGGCUUACCAGACCUAGGUUUUUUUACAGAUGUGAUCAGAUUUGUGAUUCUUGCAAAACCAAAGCAGUAAAAACAGCCAGGGUUCAUUUGAAUGUCACUUGGUGGAGUGACAGAUGUCUAGUUCCCUUCACAAGGGGAAAAAGAGGGCAAACCCAAAACUGAGAAGGCUUUAACUGAUAUUGGCUUUCUGUACAAAAGAGAACAAAAGUGAUAGACCCUGGGGUGUAAGUCCAUACUGUGCUCAACAUCGCUGCAAGGAAAAGGGCUGUGCUUUUUCCUGCAGGUGGAAUGAUAAGGAUACCAUAGAACUAGGGUUUGAGGAGGAGAGAAGUUGUGUUUGGAUUGGGUCUAUGUGUGCUCCCCUCACACCCCCGAGUCCUUAGUCAGAUUUCCCAUUAUCUUGAUAUCCUUGGCUACAUGAACAAGAUCUUGGCAUAAUACUUUACUUCCUACUAAGCUCUUUUUUCCAUGUUCAAAUAAAACACUGACAGCAAGAAUCUCAAGAAGUCCCUCUUUAAAAAGAUGCCAGAUGAACUUCACUGUGAAUUGGCAAAAUCUAAGGCAUACCUACACAAUUGGCAGUUAGAGAUCAGGAAAGAUCUUUUUGAAAGAGUUGUUGCUGAGAGUCCUCAGACAUCAUUGCUUAGAAUGCAGCAGCAGUGAAAACAGACAAGACAAUGUUGGACUUCAACAGGAAGUGUAUUAGAAACAAAAUAAAAUGUUUUAUAGUGCUACUACAAAACCUUGGAUGUAGAGAGUGUAAAAAAGGUCUGUAGGGAAGUUAAAGGGCAACUAAAAUGAUUAGUCAUCUUGAGUACUGCCUGCUCAUGACACUAAAAAGGCUUAGGAAUUAUCUGUUUUAGAGAGCAGGCUGAGGGAGGCAUUAUGACAUAAGUUAAAGAAUUGUGGCUGCAGAACCGCAUUUCAAUGCUUGUUCCUGCACUUCUAGAAUUUGGGAGCAAUUCCUGAAACAGGGAGAUUAGUUUAAAACAAAUAAAGGAAUUUCUGGAACUUACUGUCACAGGAAGCUGUAGAGAUAGACAGUAAAAAAAAAAAAUUAAAUCAGUCAUGGACAGCUGGUCUAUAAAUGGAUGCUGAAGCACCUAGGAAGAAAUACACUCUCAUGUCUGCUACAACAGUUUCUGGACAAGUGAGGGGCGGCUUGGCAGUAUGAAGGGAAUGGAUUGCAAAAACUGGUCAUAUUCACAUGCUUUCCCUUAAAAACAAAACCACGUGAAAGUCUUGUUGUCACUGUUGGAAACAGAACAUUAGGCUGAUGGACCAUUGCCCUGAGCCAGUAGAACACGUAUGUUCCCAUCUUUAAAAAAGAUACUGCUUUUUGUAUUAGAAAUGCAGAGGCUCACUUGCUAGGCUGUAAGCUAUGUAGAGUACAAAAUUUUCAUUUUAAGAAACCUCUGGUUUUAGAUCCUUACACUGGUAUAAGCCACUGGUAUCUAAUUGCAUUGGAGCGCAUGCUGUCUAGUAGUUCCAAAUGCUUUGAGAAGCCUUACAAAGCCUUUCUGCUGCAACAGAAAUUGCAGAUUAUCAGGCUCCUUCAGAAAUGCUCCUGAAUAGAUAUUAGAUUGACAUGCCCCUGAAGUAUCUUCAACACUGAAACUACACAAAACUGAAAAUAGUGUACAGCUGACCCCAGUCUAUUCUGUUGGAUCAUUUUAAUUUCUUGGAGAUUAGCUGCUUACAUCAAUAUUCAUGUAUAAAAACAAAAAUUAAGGUGCAAAUCAGAUUCUACCUUCAAUUGAAGAACUUAAAUAUUUUCAAGAUUAAAGUGACAAAUUUAUAACUGUAAAAUAAAAAUAACAUUCUUUUGAAGACUAGGUUUUGUGAUAAAUUUGUGUCCUGAUAUUUAAUGUAAUUUAAUGCGUUUGGAUUCAAAUGACAGCACUUAGAUUUUUAAGAAGUGCAGUGAUUUUGGCAGGUACAGAAUUGCAGAUCAUCAGGCUCCUUCAGAAAUGCUCCUGAAUUUCAGUUUCUCAAACUGAAAAUGGCUGUUAUUAGAACAGGAACAUGCAUCCCACUGCCUAUGCUUUUCACACAUCUCACUGAAAUGCAGACUAUCUUUUAAGUUGGAAGGGAUCCUGGGAGGCCUUUAGACUAGCUGCCUGCUUAAAACAGGACCAACGCUGAACUUAAAAUAGGGAUUAAGGCUUUGUCAGUUGGGUGUUGAAACCCACUGAGGAUGGAGAGCAUACAAUCUCUAAACAACCUGUUCCGUUUCCUAACUAGCCUUGUAGCAACUCUUUUUCUUUCAUAUUCAAACACAGUCUUGUAUUUUGCAUUACGAUUAAUGUCUCUUCUCCCACCAUACAAUUCAGUGAAGAACCAGUUCUCUGUUACCUCAAGGUGCUCCUGCCUUAAGAUAGGAGUUAAGGAGUUAAAGGCUUCUACCCCUUAACUGUGUUGUUACCUCUCCACUGAAUCUACUAAUGAAUAUCUUGUACUGAGGAAGGAGUGAGGUAGCAAGUGCAGAAUAGCACAGAUGCCAGAUAAGAAUCGGUUCCCAUGAUGUACUGGCUAUGCCCUUGUCAUUACAGCCUAGUAUGCAGUUAUUUUUCCUCCCUGCUCAGGGACACUGCUGAUUUGUGUUUAGCUUUGUGUGUCAGGACCUCUUCAGCAGUGUUGCUUUCCAGCCUGUCUGUCCCCAUAAUACAGACAAAUUCUAUGCUACAGUGUUUGUGCUCCUGGCUGAGAUGAAUGUUUUUUAAGUAGUAGUGGAAGUUAAUGAUAUAUGACCACCAAUAGACUUGUCGGACAUAUUCUCUACAGUACAUUCAUGUUUCUCUCUAGCAGUCUGGCUCACCUUGAUUCUGAGGAGUGCUUGAGAAAAAGGGCAGGCAAGUGUGAAGCUGCAGGUCAAAAGAAGUGUUCCUGGAAGGUCACAGACUGUGCAUCCUUUCAUUAGAAUAACAAAAGAUAGCAACACACUGUUUUCCCAGACUCACUUUAAGAAUUGGCAAAGACUGUCUAUUCAUGAUUGUUUCACCAACAUCAUUUUCCACAGACUCUCAUUUGGUGUUUGGAAAGGCUACUACCUAAAACCAUGAAGCUAUGAUUUUGUUAUGUUACGUAAACACACUCAUCUAAAGGUAUUGUGUUGAAGACUUCAGGAAAACAGUUGAGGUCAUUGGCUUGGCUUUCUGAAGGUUCAAAACAACUAACAUUGACUAUCAGCUUUAUAAUUGCAGAUCAAAUGUCUCAAAGGCCAGAGAGACUUCUCAGACCAACCCACUUUUGAUGGGAUUCACAUUGUCAACCAUUUCACAGGAGAUGAUGAAUCAUUUCAUUCUUCUGAUGAAGAUUUUAUAACUAACUCCAU